UGCCUUCUUUUUGGAAAACAGUCAUAUAUUCCAAAAACAGUAUCUACUCCUUCAGAUGUAUCUGCCCUUGCUGCUUUUCUGCCGACCAUAUCUGGUGAUUGUGAUGCACCAUCACCUAAGAAACAGCGUUUACUUCGAACUGGCAUUCCAGCUAAGAAGGCCCUGGCAUUUUCAGCUGAAGCUGGAGAAAAGAGAGUUGAAACACUUCUGAUAUAGCAGCCAAGGCAUGAGGAUGAAAUGGUCCGUGAUCUUCAUUUGUCCUGAUAAUAUGGACUGCUCUAUUGACACAGUUUACGUUUAUGCGUAAAAUGCCAUUUCUUGUUUGAGGAUGGUGCUGAUCAGUCGCCAUUAGGUGAUGAAGCUCCGGUAAUCGUCAAAGUCAAAAACUAUGUUACUGACGAGUCUACUUCUAUCCAAGGGCAGGUGAAAAUCCUCCGAUCCACUUCCAGCUGCUGCAACAAAAAUAAGAUCUGCAAUCAGCAGGAAAGGCAAGCACUCCAGCUAGACAGAUGCGGUUUCAGUGAAGUAUGCUUCUGGACAGGAAUGUGGCCGGGAUUCAGCAGCCAUGCUACCAGGUCCCGUUAUUCUGCUUCUGAAGACUUAUAACUACUAUUCUGUAUCGAGUGCAUUUUAACCAAUUGACGAGAAUAUUGAAAUGAAACAUGUCCAUUUGAAAAUGACGUGUGAGCACUAGUGAUGUUGAAGACUGGAAGAUCAUCGCAGGAGCAGUUGAGCUGCUGCACAUGGAUGGUGUGCAUUCGCAGGGAGGUGUUUUCGGGUGGUCGGCAGGCCGCUCGCGCUCAAGACGGCGGCGAGCCCGAUCUGGUGGACGGCGACGAGCAGGAAUCGGGAGGGGACCGAGGCGGCAGGUGCAGCGACGCCGCGAGGUUAGAACCUAGGGUCGAUUGGACUCGAUGGAGUCAGUGACCCUGUUGCCCCUCUCUCGUUUGGGGUCGAACCGGUUCGAUCCGCUCGCUAAUUUCAGGAUUCGGAGCGAACUCGAAAAUGGCUCGACCCGCUCCCUUUGCAGGCCUACCAUCUUAAACAUAUUGAAAUGAAGCAUGUCCAUUUGAAAAUUACGUGUGAGCACUAGUGUGUGUGGAAGGCUGGAAGAUCAUCUCAGGAGCAGCUGAACUGCUGCACAUGGAUGGUGUGCAUCCGCAGACCUGCAGUCACAAAACCUUAGUUUAUCCCGUUGAACGGCUCUGGUACCGUACAUCUCGGUUUCUAAAAAAAAUGGUUGCAACACCGACACCGCA